CCUCUUGCAAUAUUCUACUUUGGUUUUACAUUCUAUUCUUAUGACAACAUUAGUUAUUUAACAAUCAAUAUAUGUUUGAAUCAUAAAAAUCAAUAUAUGUUUGAUUUAACAUUAUCUAUCUCUCCCUCUAGCUAGGUCAUCUAUACAACUUGAGAUUCUCGGAGAUUUUAAGGAACCAACAACUAAGAUAAAAUUUCUCCUCUACAUAGCUAUCUAGUGUUGCUUGGAUAAUAAACGGCUUGCACUAACAUCACCAUCCACCUC
rnacentral:lncRNA from 1 species